rnacentral:rRNA from 1 species
AUUGAACGCUAGCGGGAUGCUUUACACAUGCAAGUCGAACGGCAGCGCGGACUUCGGUCUGGCGGCGAGUGGCGAACGGGUGAGUAAUGUAUCGGAACGUGCCCAGUAGCGGGGGAUAACUACGCGAAAGCGUAGCUAAUACCGCAUACGCCCUACAGGGGAAAGCAGGGGAUCGUAAGACCUUGCACUAUUGGAGCGGCCGAUAUCGGAUUAGCUAGUUGGUGAGGUAACGGCUCACCAAGGCGACGAUCCGUAGCUGGUUUGAGAGGACGACCAGCCACACUGGGACUGAGACACGGCCCAGACUCCUACGGGAGGCAGCAGUGGGGAAUUUUGGACAAUGGGGGCAACCCUGAUCCAGCCAUCCCGCGUGUGCGAUGAAGGCCUUCGGGUUGUAAAGCACUUUUGGCAGGAAAGAAACGUCGCGGGCUAAUACCCCGUGGAACUGACGGUACCUGCAGAAUAAGCACCGGCUAACUACGUG